CCUGGAAAUGGUUGAGACUACCCUGCCACGAUUUUGCUCCCGCUUCCGCCUAGGUUCACGUUUACCUCCGAACCGCAUGCACAACUGGAGGAGAACUUCUGCCGGAACCCAGAUGGGGAUAGCCAUGGGCCCUGGUGCUACACGAUGGACCCAAGGACCCCAUUCGACUACUGUGCCCUGCGACGCUGCGCUGAUGACCAGCCGCCAUCAAUCCUGGACCCCCCAGACCAGGUGCAGUUUGAGAAGUGUGGCAAGAGGGUGGAUCGGCUGGAUCAGCGGCGUUCCAAGCUGCGCGUGGUUGGGGGCCAUCCGGGCAACUCACCCUGGACAGUCAGCUUGCGGAAUCGGCAAGCUAACAAGUGAGCCUUGGGGCAAUGGACUGAGAGUCACAAAUGACCUAGCAGAGCUUCUCUCCCAGCCAUAUGCCUCUCACGGGCUAUGAGGUAUGGUUGGGCACCCUGUUCCAGAACCCACAGCAUGGAGAGCCAAGCCUACAGCGGGUCCCAGUAGCCAAGAUGGUGUGUGGGCCCUCAGGCUCCCAGCUUGUCCUGCUCAAGCUGGAGAG
rnacentral:lncRNA from 1 species